UUGAUCCUGGCUCAGGAUGAACGCUAGCGGCAGGCCUAACACAUGCAAGUCGAGGGGUAACGAUGGAGCUUGCUCCAGGCGACGACCGGCGCACGGGUGAGUAACGCGUUUGCAACCUACCUCUAACUGGAAGAUAGCCCGAAGAAAUUCGGAUUAAUAUUCCAUAACACUAUGAUUUGGCAUCUUUUUAUAGUUAAAGUUUCGACGGUUAGAGAUGGGCAUGCGUGACAUUAGCUAGUUGGUGAGGUAACGGCUCACCAAGGCCACGAUGUCUAGGGGGUCUGAGAGGAUGGUCCCCCACACUGGUACUGAGACACGGACCAGACUCCUACGGGAGGCAGCAGUGAGGAAUAUUGGUCAAUGGGCGAAAGCCUGAACCAGCCAUGCCGCGUGAAGGAUGACGGCCCUACGGGUUGUAAACUUCUUUUGUUUGAGAAGAAACCUCCCUACGUGUAGGGGGCUGACGGUAUCGAACGAAUAAGCAUCGGCUAACUCCGUGCCAGCAGCCGCGGUAAUACGGAGGAUGCAAGCGUUAUCCGGAUUCAUUGGGUUUAAAGGGUACGCAGGCGGAAAACUAAGUCAGUGGUGAAAUCCUGCAGCUUAACUGUAGAACUGUCAUUGAUACUGGUUUUCUUGGAUUCAGUUGAGGUAGGCGGAAUGUGUAAUGUAGCGGUGAAAUGCUUAGAUAUUACACAGAACACCGAUUGCGAAGGCAGCUUACUAAACUGCGAUUGACGCUGAGGUACGAAAGCGUGGGUAGCAAACAGGAUUAGAUACCCUGGUAGUCCACGCCGUAAACUAUGAUCACUCGUUGUUGACAACACAUCGUCAGCGACUGAGCGAAAGCAUUAAGUGAUCCGCCUGGGGAGUACGGCCGCAAGGCUAAAACUCAAAGGAAUUGACGGGUCCCCGCACAAGCGGUGGAGGAUGUGGUUUAAUUCGACGCAACGCGAAGAACCUUACCCGGGCUUAAACUGCAGGGUAAACCCCCUGAAAGGGGGGCUGCUUCGGCGAUCCUGUAGAGGUGCUGCAUGGCUGUCGUCAGCUCGUGUCGUGAGAUGUUGGGUUAAGUCCCGCAACGAGCGCAACCCUUGCCUUUAGUUACCAGCGCGUCAUGGCGGGAACUCUAGAGGGACUGCCGUCGUAAGGCGGAGGAAGGUGGGGACGAGGUCAAGUCAUCAUGGCCCUUAUGUCCGGGGCUACACACGUCCUACAAUGGCCGGUACAGUGGGCAGCGACACCGCGAGGUGAAGCAAAUCCCUUAAAGCCGGUCCCAGUUCGGAUUGCAGUCUGCAACUCGACUGCAUGAAGGUGGAAUCGCUAGUAAUCGCGGAUCAGCAUGCCGCGGUGAAUACGUUCACCGGGGAUUGUACACACCGCCCGUCACAUCACGAAAGUCGGUUGUACCGGAAGUCGCCGAGCUAACCCGCAAGGGGGGCAGGUGCCCAUGGUAUGGCCA
rnacentral:rRNA from 1 species